GACGAACGCUGGCGGCGUGCUUAACACAUGCCAGUCGAACGAUGAAGCAGAGACACGCGAACUUCGGUUCAAAUUUCACUUCGGAUUAGUGGCAGACGGGUGAGUAACGCGUGAGCAACCUACCUCUUACAAAGGGAUAGCCUCGGGAAACCGUGAUUAAUACCAUAUGACACAUUCAUAAGGCAUCUUAAGAAUGUUAAAGCUACGGCGGUAAGGGAUGGGCUCGCGUCCCAUUAGCUAGGUGGUGAGGUAACGGCCCACCAAGGGGACGAUGGGUAACCGGCCUGAGAGGGUGAACGGUCACAUUGGAACUGAGACACGGUCCAAAAUACUACGGGAGGCAGCAGUGGGGAAUAUUGCACAAUGGAGGGAACUCUGAUGCAGCGACGGCGCGUGAGCGAUGAAGGAAUUCGUAUCGUAAAGCUCUGUUCUAUGGGAAGAAAAGGACUGUACCAUAGGAGAAAGCCCCGGCUAAAUACGUG
rnacentral:rRNA from 1 species